CCAUAAUACAACUUUCAGCAACGGAUCUCUUGGCUCUCGCAUCGAUGAAGAACGCAGCGAAUUGCGAUAAGUAAUGUGAAUUGCAGAUUUUCAGUGAAUCAUCGAAUCUUUGAACGCACCUUGCGCUCCUUGAUUCCGAGGAGCAU
rnacentral:rRNA from 1 species